rnacentral:SRP_RNA from 2 species
CCGCAACGCUACUCUGUUCACCAGGUCAGGUCCGGAAGGAAGCAGCCAGGGCAGACGACGUGUGUGCCGGGAUGUAGCUGGCAGGG